rnacentral:rRNA from 1 species
UACGGGGGGAGCAAGCGUUGUUCGGAUUUACUGGGCGUAAAGGGCGCGUAGGCGGCCCACUAAGUCAGACGUGAAAUCCCCCGGCUUAACCUGGGAACUGCGUCUGAUACUGGAGGGCUUGAGUAUGGGAGAGGGAUGUAGAAUUCCAGGUGUAGCGGUGAAAUGCGUAGAUAUCUGGAGGAAUACCGGUGGCGAAGGCGGCAUCCUGGACCAUUACUGACGCUGAGGCGCGAAAGCUAGGGGAGCAAACGGG